rnacentral:rRNA from 1 species
ACAAAUUAGAGUGCUCAAAGCAGGCCGUUGGUCGCCUGAAUACUGUGUGCAUGGAAUAAUGGAAUAGGACCUCGGUUCCAUUUUGUUGGUUUUCAGAACUCGAGGUAAUGAUUAAUAGGGACGGACGGGGGCAUUCGUAUUGCGACGUUAGAGGUGAAAUUCUUGGAUCGUCGCAAGACGAACCGAUGCGAAAGCAUUUGCCAAGAACGUUUUCGUUGAUCAAGAACGAAAGUUAGAGGUUCGAAGGCGAUCAGAUACCGCCCUAGUUCUAACCAUAAACGAUGCCAGCUAGCCAUCCGCCGAAGUUCCUUAUAUGACUCGGCGGGCAGCUUCCGGGAAACCAAAGCUCUUGGGUUCCGGGGGAAGUAUGGUUGCAAAGCUCAAACUUAAAGGAAUUGACGGAAGGGCACCACCAGGAGUGGAGCCUGCGGCUUAAUUUGACUCAACACGGGACACCUCACCAGGCCCAGACACCGGUAGGAUUGACAGAAUAAGAGCUCUUUCUUGAUUCGGUGGGUGGUGGUGCAUGGCCGUUCUUAGUUGGUGGAGC